rnacentral:RNase_P_RNA from 2 species
AGAGUAAGUUGUUUGAUCGCGUGCUUUAUAAGCAUGAGGAAAGUCCGUGCUCCAUAGAGCAAGAUGCUGGAUAACGUCCAGUGGGGGCAACCCUAAGGAUAGUGCAACAGAGAGAUACCGCCUAUCUAUUAUAUAGAUAGGUAAGGGUGGAAAGGUGAGGUAAGAGCUCACCAGCGUUUAGGUGACUAAGCGGCUAUGUAAACCCCAUCUGGAGCAAGACCAAAAAGGAUAACAAAGGGUAGUGGCUCGUUACCUUUCCAAUGGUAGGUCGCAUGAACUUAUUGGCAACAAUAAGUCUAGAUAGAUGAUCAAAUAAACAGAACACGGCUUAUAGAUUUACUCUUAAA